rnacentral:rRNA from 1 species
AAUCAUGGCUCAGGAUGAACGCUAGCUACAGGCUUAACACAUGCAAGUCGAGGGGCAGCAUGUCGGUUGCUUGCAACCGAUGAUGGCGACCGGCGCACGGGUGAGUAACGCGUAUCCAACCUACCCUUGUCCAUCGGAUAACCCGUCGAAAGGCGGCCUAACACGAUAUGCGGUUCACAGCAGGCAUCUAACGUGAACGAAAUGUGAAGGAGAAGGAUGGGGAUGCGU